UGCCGAAACACCCCGGUGUGGGUGUCAUCCUGCCGUGGUGGGCAGGGUCUGACGAUGGCAGCCAGCC
rnacentral:hammerhead_ribozyme from 1 species